rnacentral:rRNA from 1 species
GGGUCUGGGAUAAACCCCUGAGAAANUUGGGGGACAAUACCAGAUAGGGCAUCGAUAGCUGGAAUGCGCGAUGUCCAAAAGCUGAGGCGCCCAAGGAUAGGUCUGCGGCCGAUUAGGUUGUUGUUGAUGUAAUGGAUCAACAAGCCUGCAAUCGGUACGGGUUAUGAGAGCAAGAGCCCGGAGAUGGGUUCUGAGAAAAGAACCCAGGUCCUACGGGACGCAUCAGGCGCGAAAACUUUACAAUGUGCGAAAGCACGAUAAGGGAACUCUGAGUGCCUCCUAUGGAGGCUGUUCAGGUGUCUAAAAAUCACUUGAAGUAAGGGCUGGGUAAGACCGGUGCCAGCCGCCGCGGUAACACCGGCAGCCCAAGUGGUAGCCACGAUUAUUGGGUCUAAAGCGUCCGUAGCCGGCCAGGUAAGCUCUUUGGGAAAUUUAACCGCUCAACGGUUAAGCUUUCAGGGAAUACUGCUUGGCUUGGGACCGGGAGAGGUCAGAGAUACUUCAAGGGUAGGGGUGAAAUCCGUUAAUCCUUGAGGGACCACCAGUAGCGAAGGCGUCUGACCAGACCGGGUCCGACGGUGAGGGACGAAGGCUAGGGUCGCGAACCGGAUUAGAUACCCGGGUAGUCCUAGCUGUAAACGAUGCGGGCCAGGUGUUGGCAUUACUGCGAGUGAUGUCAGUGCCGAAGGGAAGCCGUUAAGCCCGCCAUCUGGGGAGUACGGUCGCAAGGCUGAAACUUAA